GGCCCGAGAGGCUCUUCUGGAGGCCAUUCGCUCAGGCUCUGGGGCUCAACAUCUGAAGAAGGUCCCUGUCACACAGACAAGACGGCAAGUGAAUGGGAGACUUGGCACCAUCCAGACAACAUCACCACUUUCUUAUGGACACUAGAAACCUUCACUGGAUCACCGUUUGGGUUUACCCAUCGCCAAAUCUGGUGUUUAAGCAUACAUUCUUUAUUUAUAGUGAUAUGCUGCUUCACAUCCAUGCCAAUACUAAUUUGUCUAGUUUCAGGCAGUUUAUGUCUUGUUACUGAAAUUCUAAUGAUGACAGUGUAGUUCUUUGUUAAUGCUGCUUUGAGUUAGAUUUUUUUCUCUCUCUCAUAUGUCUGCCUGACUUCUAUAUCUCUAUCAGUAUUAUACCUGAAUAUAUUAUGCAGGUAUUUGCUGUUGCAUAACAGUAUAAGGUGGUGGGCUGCAAUUGAAUCCACCUGCCAACCACAACAGUCUAUGGCUUUUUGAUAUUUAUUUUUUAAAGGAACACUAAGUGGUAAAAUGGAAAACACUGAGAUAUUUUUAUUUAAUCAAUAUUAUAAAGGUGUUUCUUUAAAUGUUUUGUUAUUUUGUUAUAUAUAGAUUUUGAUAAUUAGAUCACAAUCUAUUUUCAUUAGAAAAGUGGACUAGAAACGAACCAUUCUUGACACUCUUAUUUUUGAAGCAUUGUACAGUAGAUACACAUGCCGUAUAUUUGACCAAUACUAAUGCACUUUCUCUAACACAGAUUCAUUUGAAAGCCUUGUAGAUACUGUAUGAUUGGACAUAAUGUAAUCAAUUCCUUUUCACCAGUCUGCUGAACAGCUGUGAUCUAGAGCUAUCAUGGUGAUUCAGCUUUAAUUUAUUCCAUUGCGAAAAUCCUACACUACUAUAAUUAGAGUAAAUUGUUUAAUAUAUUUACACGUUGUAAAUAUAUUUAUGUUGUUAGCAUUAUAGACUAUAUGACAGGUCUGUACAGUGGCAAUCUUAUUGAAUAAAUUACUUGAGUAUAAGUCGACAGGUGAUUAUUUUGUAAAACAUAUACCUGACACUAAUAUAGUAAGUUUCAAAUCUGACACUAAAGCAUUAGUGUAAUGAAAAGAUUUUUAAAUAAUGCUUUUGUAAUGUCAUUUUUUUUAUUG